AGAGUUUGAUCCUGGCUCAGGAUGAACGCUGGCGGCGUGCCUAAUACAUGCAAGUCGAGCGAACGGACGAGAAGCUUGCUUCUCUGAUGUUAGCGGCGGACGGGUGAGUAACACGUGGAUAACCUACCUAUAAGACUGGGAUAACUUCGGGAAACCGGAGCUAAUACCGGAUAAUAUUUUGAACCGCAUGGUUCAAAAGUGAAAGACGGUCUUGCUGUCACUUAUAGAUGGAUCCGCGCUGCAUUAGCUAGUUGGUAAGGUAACGGCUUACCAAGGCAACGAUGCAUAGCCGACCUGAGAGGGUGAUCGGCCACACUGGAACUGAGACACGGUCCAGACUCCUACGGGAGGCAGCAGUAGGGAAUCUUCCGCAAUGGGCGAAAGCCUGACGGAGCAACGCCGCGUGAGUGAUGAAGGUCUUCGGAUCGUAAAACUCUGUUAUUAGGGAAGAACAUAUGUGUAAGUAACUGUGCACAUCUUGACGGUACCUAAUCAGAAAGCCACGGCUAACUACGUGCCAGCAGCCGCGGUAAUACGUAGGUGGCAAGCGUUAUCCGGAAUUAUUGGGCGUAAAGCGCGCGUAGGCGGUUUUUUAAGUCUGAUGUGAAAGCCCACGGCUCAACCGUGGAGGGUCAUUGGAAACUGGAAAACUUGAGUGCAGAAGAGGAAAGUGGAAUUCCAUGUGUAGCGGUGAAAUGCGCAGAGAUAUGGAGGAACACCAGUGGCGAAGGCGACUUUCUGGUCUGUAACUGACGCUGAUGUGCGAAAGCGUGGGGAUCAAACAGGAUUAGAUACCCUGGUAGUCCACGCCGUAAACGAUGAGUGCUAAGUGUUAGGGGGUUUCCGCCCCUUAGUGCUGCAGCUAACGCAUUAAGCACUCCGCCUGGGGAGUACGACCGCAAGGUUGAAACUCAAAGGAAUUGACGGGGACCCGCACAAGCGGUGGAGCAUGUGGUUUAAUUCGAAGCAACGCGAAGAACCUUACCAAAUCUUGACAUCCUUUGACAACUCUAGAGAUAGAGCCUUCCCCUUCGGGGGACAAAGUGACAGGUGGUGCAUGGUUGUCGUCAGCUCGUGUCGUGAGAUGUUGGGUUAAGUCCCGCAACGAGCGCAACCCUUAAGCUUAGUUGCCAUCAUUAAGUUGGGCACUCUAAGUUGACUGCCGGUGACAAACCGGAGGAAGGUGGGGAUGACGUCAAAUCAUCAUGCCCCUUAUGAUUUGGGCUACACACGUGCUACAAUGGACAAUACAAAGGGCAGCGAAACCGCGAGGUCAAGCAAAUCCCAUAAAGUUGUUCUCAGUUCGGAUUGUAGUCUGCAACUCGACUACAUGAAGCUGGAAUCGCUAGUAAUCGUAGAUCAGCAUGCUACGGUGAAUACGUUCCCGGGUCUUGUACACACCGCCCGUCACACCACGAGAGUUUGUAACACCCGAAGCCGGUGGAGUAACCUUUUAGGAGCUAGCCGUCGAAGUGGGACAAAUGAUUGGGGUGAAGUCGUAACAAGGUAGCCGUAUCGGAAGGUGCGGCUGGAUCACCU
rnacentral:rRNA from 1 species